UACGGGGGGGCAAGCGUUGUUCGGAAUUACUGGGCGUAAAGGGCUCGUAGGCGGCCAACUAAGUCAGACGUGAAAUCCCUCGGCUUAACCGGGGAACUGCAUCUGAUACUGGAUGGCUUGAGUUCGGGAGAGGGAUGCGGAAUUCCAGGUGUAGCGGUGAAAUGCGUAGAUAUCUGGAGGAACACCGGUGGCGAAGGCGGCAUCCCGGACCGACACUGACGCUGAGGCAGCGAAAGCCAGGGGAGCAAACGGG
rnacentral:rRNA from 1 species